rnacentral:rRNA from 1 species
GAUGAACGCUGGCGGCGUGCCUAAUACAUGCAAGUAGAACGCUGAAGGAGGAGCUUGCUCUUCUGGAUGAGUUGCGAACGGGUGAGUAACGCGUAGGUAACCUGCCUGGUAGCGGGGGAUAACUAUUGGAAACGAUAGCUAAUACCGCAUGACAACAGUUAUUGCAUGAUAACUGUUUAAAAGGGGCAACUGCUCCACUACCAGAUGGACCUGCGUUGUAUUAGCUAGUUGGUGAGGUAACGGCUCACCAAGGCGACGAUACAUAGCCGACCUGAGAGGGUGAUCGGCCACACUGGGACUGAGACACGGCCCAGACUCCUACGGGAGGCAGCAGUAGGGAAUCUUCGGCAAUGGACGGAAGUCUGACCGAGCAACGCCGCGUGAGUGAAGAAGGUUUUCGGAUCGUAAAGCUCUGUUGUAAGAGAAGAACGAGUGUGAGAGUGGAAAGUUCACACUGUGACGGUAUCCUACCAGAAAGGGACGGCUAACUACGUG